rnacentral:rRNA from 1 species
UUGAACGCUGGCGGCAGGCCUAACACAUGCAAGUCGAACGGUAACAGGAAGCAGCUUGCUGCUUCGCUGACGAGUGGCGGACGGGUGAGUAAUGUCUGGGAAACUGCCUGAUGGAGGGGGAUAACUACUGGAAACGGUAGCUAAUACCGCAUAAUGUCGCAAGACCAAAGAGGGGGACCUUCGGGCCUCUUGCCAUCGGAUGUGCCCAGAUGGGAUUAGCUUGUUGGUGGGGUAACGGCUCACCAAGGCGACGAUCCCUAGCUGGUCUGAGAGGAUGACCAGCCACACUGGAACUGAGACACGGUCCAGACUCCUACGGGAGGCAGCAGUGGGGAAUAUUGCACAAUGGGCGCAAGCCUGAUGCAGCCAUGCCGCGUGUAUGAAGAAGGCCUUCGGGUUGUAAAGUACUUUCAGCGGGGAGGAAGGGAGUAAAGUUAAUAUCUUUGCUCAUUGACGUUACCCGCAGAAGAAGCACCGGCUAACUCCGUGCCAGCAGCCGCGGUAAUACGGAGGGUGCAAGCGUUAAUCGGAAUUACUGGGCGUAAAGCGCACGCAGGCGGUUUGUUAAGUCAGAUGUGAAAUCCCCGGGCUCAACCUGGGAACUGCAUCUGAUACUGGCAAGCUUGAGUCUCGUAGAGGGGGGUAGAAUUCCAGGUGUAGCGGUGAAAUGCGUAGAGAUCUGGAGGAAUACCGGUGGCGAAGGCGGCCCCCUGGACGAAGACUGACGCUCAGGUGCGAAAGCGUGGGGAGCAAACAGGAUUAGAUACCCUGGUAGUCCACGCCGUAAACUAUGUCGACUUGGAGGUUGUGCCCUUGAGGCGUGGCUUCCGGAGCUAACGCGUUAAGUCGACCGCCUGGGGAGUACGGCCGCAAGGUUAAAACUCAAAUGAAUUGACGGGGGCCCGCACAAGCGGUGGAGCAUGUGGUUUAAUUCGAUGCAACGCGAAGAACCUUACCUGGUCUUGACAUCCACGGAAGUUUUCAGAGAUGAGAAUGUGCCUUCGGGAACCGUGAGACAGGUGCUGCAUGGCUGUCGUCAGCUCGUGUUGUGAAAUGUUGGGUUAAGUCCCGCAACGAGCGCAACCCUUAUCCUUUGUUGCCAGCGGUCCGGCCGGGAACUCAAAGGAGACUGCCAGUGAUAAACUGGAGGAAGGUGGGGAUGACGUCAAGUCAUCAUGGCCCUUACGACCAGGGCUACACACGUGCUACAAUGGCGCAUACAAAGAGAAGCGACCUCGCGAGAGCAAGCGGACCUCAUAAAGUGCGUCGUAGUCCGGAUUGGAGUCUGCAACUCGACUCCAUGAAGUCGGAAUCGCUAGUAAUCAUGGAUCAGAAUGCCACGGUGAAUACGUUCCCGGGCCUUGUACACACCGCCCGUCACACCAUGGGAGUGGGUUGCAAAAGAAGUAGGUAGCUUAACCUUCGGGAGGGCGCUUACCACUUUGUGAUUCAUGACUGGGGUG